AAUCUCUCCGACACCAGUUGCUGAUGCACCUGACUUGCUCGAAAAGUUGAAGAGAAAAAGACCGCCUCUUCGUCGCCUGUUUGAGCAGCUGCCCCAGCCCACAAUUCACUGCAGUGCCCACAGCUGUGCGAAUGGAUCCUGAAAACUGUCCUGAUCUGCACCAUCCCCAAUGGAGGCAGCAAUGUGACCUACAGCUGGAGAGCCCCAGACCCUCCCAGUAUGAUCGCUCAAGGAUCCAUCGUGAUAAUCUCUAAUGCAGAUCUUCUGAUAAAUGUCACGUGCACAGUGCACAACCCCGCCAGCAGCAGCUCCAUGACAGCCUCUGCCAAGGCCCUUUGUGCAGCACAACUGCACUCCCAGGCCUCAUCGCUGUCCUACUGCCAGGCCAAGGGGCUCGUCCUGCUGGUGGUGCCGGGGGUGCUGAUCGCUGGGACUACCGAGGUGUACAUCGUGACUCGCAUGCAGCUGAAAUGGGACUGAGCCGGGCCCAGCCCACACUGCGUCUGCUCCACUCUGGGAAGGAAGGACUGGGGGAGGCUGCAACACUGAGGAGAAGCAGCCGGUGGGUCUGCGAGGGUCUGAAUCUGAGUAUCGGAUGCCAGUUCCUGAUCCAUCGCUUGGCACUGCAGGUCCAUCAGCACUCUGGAGUAGAGUGUCUCUUCCAUGGCUUCCUCCUCCCCUGCCCAGUGGGACCAGUAGACCCCAGUAUCCAGGCUUCGGGGCAUGGACUGGCUGCGCUCAGGGGCCCACAGACACAGGCAGUACAAAACACCACUGUCCCAAGGGCAGCUGCAGCCUCUAAAUUAAAAUCCCCCCCUCUGCACUGUCUGUGUCUCUGAACCCUGCCAGGGACAAUCUUCCCACACACCUCCCAAGAUCCCCAUCGGGCUGAACCACAGCCCUCAGGGAGUGUUCAGCCAUCAGCAUUGCCCAUGCCUCUGCUCUGCAUGCCAGGAUCUCUACUGGCAGGGCCAUUUCUCAAGGAUUGCCCCCCAUUUCCCCAGGGGGUCUCUCCUGCCAGCUCUGAUGUCCCACCAAAGGGUCUGCUACAGGCUGGCCUCAGGUCCAGAAGCUGGGGUGGGACCUGGGAGCAGGGUGUUGUCUGCCGACCCGGCCAUGGGGCCCAACUGAGUGGAAGCACAUUGGAAGCAAAACUUACUGAUACAAGAGCAGGAGCCCUGGGGGGCUGGCAGUUCACGGGAUGAGCAGGGAUCAGGGAAGCCUCUUCCCAGGAGGCCAAAAGCAUGUUGACUGGCGGUAGGUAAGGCCGAGUGAGCUGAUCAGCCGCACAGGGUCAUGACUGUGGAGGCACCUGGGUACAAAGAGGCUACCAAAGCUUUUCCUGCAAGAGUUGAGAACAGACCUCGGGGCCCUUCCAGGAAGAGUCAGGAACACAACCUGGUGACUCGGGUCCUGCCAGAAAGAGCUGGGAUCGGACCCAAGCCCUGGAGGCCUGCCCAGCACACACAGCAAUGCCUUCCUUGUGCAAGGCACAAGGGGAAGAUCAGGCACUGCCCUCAAUUGCUGGAGCUCACUUGAAAGCUUUGCCUGCCCCGUGAGCACAUCUCCAGAGCCCAGCUGCAGCUGGAGCUUGCUGGAUACAGCAGUGACCUCCAAACACGCAACCCAGCAGUACCCUCAGCUGGGGCAUGGCCACCAGCAGUGUUGAGCCACUGUACAACUCCUCUUGUAAAUGCCCCUUUACA